UGCGAUGGCUCAUUAAAUCAGUUAUCGUUUAUUUGAUAGUACCUUACUACUUGGAUAACCGUGGUAAUUCUAGAGCUAAUACAUGCUAAAAACCCCGACUUCGGAAGGGGUGUAUUUAUUAGAUAAAAAACCAAUGCCCUUCGGGGCUCCUUGGUGAUUCAUGAUAACUUAACGAAUCGCAUGGCCUUGCGCCGGCGAUGGGUCAUUCAAAUUUCUGCCCUAUCAACUUUCGAUGGUAGGAUAGUGGCCUACCAUGGUAUCAACGGGUAACGGGCAAUUAGGGUUCUAUUCCGGAGAGGAAGCCUGAGAAACGGCUACCACAUCCAAUGAAUGCAGCAGGCGCGCAUGUUACCCAAUCACGACACGUGAAGGUAGUGACAAUAAAUACUGAUACAGGCCUCUUUUGACUCUUGUACUUGGAGUGAGUACAAUUUAAAUACCUUAACGAGGAACAAUUGGAGGGCAAGUCUGGUGCCAACAGCCACGUUAACUCCUGCUCCUGUAACGUAUAUGACUGUUGUUGCAGUUAAAAAGCUCGUAGUUGAACCUUGGUACCGGCUGGACGUGCCGUCUCACCGCGUGUACUGCUCCGGACCAGCCCUGUUCCUUCUGGUGAUUGCUCAAUGCCCUCUCACGUGUCUGUGCUGGGGUAACUAGGCACUUCUACUUUGCAUACAAUGAAAGUGUCAAAGCAUGCUCAUGUGCCUCGUCUACGGUAGCAUGCAUAAUACCACGGUACCGCUGC
rnacentral:rRNA from 1 species